GCCGAAGUGGUGAAAUUGGCAGACGCAACGGACUCAAAAUCCGUCGGUAGUGAUACCAUGCGGGUUCAAGUCCCGCCUUCGGCACCA
rnacentral:tRNA from 2 species